rnacentral:misc_RNA from 1 species
GAUGAAGAACGUAGCGAAAUGCGAUACUUGGUGUGAAUUGCAGAAUCCCGUGAACCACCGAGUCUUUGAACGCAAGUUGCGCCCGAAGCCAUUAGGCCGAGGGCACGCCUGCCUGGGCGUCACACGUCGUUGCCCCCCCAUCUACUCCUUCGGGAUUGCGGGGGGCGGAUGAUGGCCUCCCGUGCGCCUCGCCGCGCGGUUGGCAUAAAUGCCAAGUCCUCGGCGACGCACGCCACGACAAUCGGUGGUUGCGAAACCUCGGUUGCCCGUCGUGUGCGGUCGUCGCGCAUCGAGGGCUCGAAAAAAUUGCCGGGUUCCGGCUCGGCUUUCAACGCGACCCCAGGUCAGGCGGGGUUACCCGCUGAAUUUAAGCAUAUCAAUAAGCGGAGGA